AUUGAACGCUGGCGGCAGGCUUAACACAUGCAAGUCUAGCGAGCGGCGGACGGGUGAGUUAUGUCUGGGAAACUGCCUGAUGGAGGGGGAUAACUACUGGAAACGGUAGCUAAUAACGCAUACCAUCAGAUGUGCCCAGAUGGGAUUAGCUAGUAGGUGGGGUAAUGGCUCACCUAGGCGACGAUCCCUAGCUGGUCUGAGUGGAAGACCAGCCAAAAUGGAAGUGAGACACGGUCCAGACGCCUACGUGAGGCAGCAGUGGGGAAUAUUGCACAAUGGGCGCAAGCCUGAUGCAGCCCUGCCGCGUGUGUGAAGAAGGCCUUCGGGUUGUAAAGCACGUUCAGCGAGGAGGCGUUACUCGCAGAAGAAGCACCGGCUAACGCCGUGCCAGCAGCCGCGGUAAUAC
rnacentral:rRNA from 1 species